AGUGAACGCUGGCGGUAGGCCUAACACAUGCAAGUCGAACGGCAGCACAGUAAGAGCUUGCUCUUACGGGUGGCGAGUGGCGGACGGGUGAGGAAUACAUCGGAAUCUACUUUUUCGUGGGGGAUAACGUAGGGAAACUUACGCUAAUACCGCAUACGACCUACGGGUGAAAGCAGGGGAUCUUCGGACCUUGCGCGAUUGUAUGAGCCGAUGUCGGAUUAGCUAGUUGGCGGGGUAAAGGCCCACCAAGGCGACGAUCCGUAGCUGGUCUGUGAGGAUGAUCAGCCACACUGGAACUGAGACACGGUCCAGAGUCCUACGGGAGGCAGCAGUGGGGAAUAUUGGACAAUGGGCGCAAGCAUGAUCCAGCAAUACCGCGUGGGUGAAGAAGGCCUUCGGGUUGUAAAGCCCUUUUGUUGGGAAAGAAAAGCAGCAGGUUAAUACCCCGCUGUUCUGACGGUACCCAAAGAAUAAGCACCGGCUAACUUCGUG
rnacentral:rRNA from 1 species